GCUGGACAUGGUGGUGAAUGCCUGUAAUCCCAGCAACUCAGGAGGCUGAGGCAGGAGGAUCGUGAGUUCAAAGCCAGUCUCGACAAUGGUGAGGCGCUAAGCAACUCAGUGAGAUCCUGUCUCUA
rnacentral:sRNA from 1 species